UCCCUCCAUAUCUCCUCUCUCUCUCUCCUUUUUCUCCUUCUGUCUCUCGAAGGGGAAACUUGAUGGCCAGUCCUUUGCCACGUCGAGCUUCCAGCUGGUCCACCUUGCUCGCUUUUUAGCUCCGGAAAGCUUUCAGUAGAUAAAUCCAAAUGACGCAGAAAUAGUGUUUGAACGCGACCGGCCUGGUUUUGCUUCAACAGUGAGGCAGUGUUGAAAUGAAAGGACUUCUGGAAACGAAUUGGGGCUAACCAGUCAAGAAGGAGAAGAAGGAGAAGAAACAAAUAUCAGCCAAGAAGACGAGACAUCACUGAAGAGAGCAAGUUGUGUAAAGGAGAAGGGAGACAAGUUGCAGCCCACACAAUCAGCCUGAUCAGCACUUUGUAGCAGUCAGACUACGAGAGCAGAUACAGAAGAGGCUGACACUGGAAUCACAGUGAGUAUCGCUUAAAGAGUGUGUGUGUGAGUGACUCAUACUGCGCUCAUCUGUGGUGGCAUCAGUAAAAAAACUUCUCCACAGCAUCCUUCAGCCGCCCAGCCCGCCUGCCCAGUGUUCAGACUACCUGUUCAGGAAGUAGUGGUUGUACAGUAGUCUGCACAUUGGUUAGGCUGGCCGGGGAAGCACGGGACGACUCGCAGUGUCCGAAAAGAGAGUGGGAGCGCUCCAGAGGGGCAUCCAGCAGGCACAAACACAUCAGGCUGUAGGAACACACAGCACCACCCCUCGUCCAUCUGGACAAGCCCAGGCACAAGCCUAAAUAAAGCACCCAAAGGCUCCACCACAGAGGCCUUGCCCUAGCCUAUCCUGGAUUUAUGAGUGACGGAUACAUAACUCCCAAUUUUUUCCCCAAAAAAUGUUUUGCUGUAUUUAGUUGUUUGUUUGUUAUUUUGUCACUGAACCAAGACUUAAAUCUGAUGAAGAUAAAACUGUAAAGGAUAGUUGAAAUAGCUGAAAUAAAGACGCUUGGAUAUCUA